CAUUAGCGACCACUUCUGGAAGCGGUUCAUACAGAACUAUCUCCCAGGACUGCAACUCCAACAGAAAUGGAGGAAGUCCACUGACAACAUGGCCGUGGGACAAGCUGUUAUGAUUGUGGACGCUAAUCUGCCUAGAGGCCUUUGGCCUGUGGGUACCAUUUCCCAAGUUUUUCCAGGGACUGAUGGCAUUGUUCGAGCUGCCGAAGUCAAGGUUAAAGACAGUAUCUAUGUUCGCCCGGUAACUAAGCUGGUGGAACUUCCCAAAGUUCCUGAGGACUCAGAUGAUACUGUUUCAAAAUAGAAGGACUUUAGCAUGUGUGUAUUUCCAUACAAAUACAGGGGCGGCUGUUAAAAGUCCGCUUGGUCACUUUAACUGUUUAGACUACGUUACCCAUGAUGCACCUCGGUAUCUGUACUUCCGGUUGGGAACGUGUUCAGCGCAGUUCUGCACAGAUGAGAGGUGUGUCGGAGGUGUCGGAGGAUUAACGUUUUUCCUUGCAUUCGUGUGUGUGUUAACCCUGUGUGCGUGCUUAUCAUAUGACCACACACACUCAUAUACACACUCACACUCCCUUUACCUGCAUGUGAAUGCUGUAAUGCCAUCGCUUCCCCACCAAAGCUGUACAUCCUGUUGAUGUCAUCUGCCACCUCCUUAUUAAAGUUAUUUGAACUA